AAAACAGCUGAGUUGAAAUAAUUUCAACAACAUUUAGACACACACACAAUGAAUUUUCCAAAUUCGAACUGCAAAGCGUGCAGGUGGCAACAGCAGCUGCCAGUGCUGCGCAGCUGUUGCCGCAUUUUUGAUCUGCAGCAAGGCUGCACGCUAAUUGCUGUGCUGCAAUUUGUUUGGGGCUUGUGGCAAUUGUAUGCCACAUACUUUGGCACUAAUCAGCUGGAGCAGCCACUGUUGGCUGCGGAGUGGCAAUUAAAGUCAAAUAUAAUGCUGGGCGCAGCGCAGUUUUAUGCUUUGCUAGCAAUCAUAUCGAUCUUCAGUUCGCAGCUGCUUUAUCUGGGCGUUAACAACGCAAAUUCUGUUUAUUGCUUUGGCUCUAUGUAUCAAUUGUGUUUGCUUUGGCGUUUUGCUUUUAUACGCUGUUCAUUGCGUAUGCGCCCCGUAUGCUGAUCUUACAUUGCAUUGCCAUACUGCUGCUAGCCUAUUUUAUGCUAAUUGUCUUAUCAUAUUAUUUGCAACUGGAGCGCGCUGAGGACUCGCCAGACAUGGAAGUGCUUUUCAGCGCUACGGCAGUUUAAUUAUCAAGCAUACUAUAGAAAAUAUACAGCUAUAUAUAAAUAUAUAUGUUUUAUUUGA